GUCUGGAGCCCUUUGACCCUGGCUUGAUCUUGGAAGCUAAGCAGGGUAGGGACUGGCUAGAACUUGGGUGGGAGACUGCCUGGGAAAAUCGAGUGCUCAAAAAC
rnacentral:rRNA from 1 species